GGCACCUUGGCCUAAUGGUAAGGCGUUGCUUUCCGGCGGAGGAUGGCAAAGAUUGUGGGUUCGAGUCCCAUAGGUGUCG